UCAGCGACGUCACAUGAAUUUGAACAAGAUCCACGGUUUAGCUAGGAUAGAAAACGAAGAGAGAGCGGCAUAGGGUCCUACAGUUACCGUAGAGAAAUAUGCAAACCUUUUCCCUUGGGUUCCAUUCAACAGGCUCCCGCUGCGUCCCGCCAGGAGAUCAAAGCAAGCGAAGGAACCAGUGCCCCGGCCAAACCCGGCCAAGCUGUAACUGUAUCCUGGGACAUGCGCACUCGAGGUCUUUGCAGAAGAUGGCAAUGAUAGUGAAGUCAACACUUAUUAUUAGAAAAAGAAAGAU